AAAAGAUUACAUUACAAUUACACACAUAUUAGACAUUACAGCUGUACCCUUUUGUCGUGACUGUUGUUUAGGCAAACUACUCCUUGUUUUAAAGUGGAAUUUAAAUUGUAGAAUAAGAUCAUGUCUUAAUUAUGUGUGCAUGUGUGUAAACAUUUGUGUUGUAGGAGAAAGCUAAACCGUUCAGUGGAAUGUUCCGGAAACCUAACCAAAGCAAACCAGUAGACGCUACUCAACCGGAGGAGGAUAAAGAGUCACCAAACAGUGAUCUCCUGGCUAGCAACGAGAGCUUAUCAGAGACCAAGGAAAAGGGAGCUUUGUUUGGUGUAAUUCUCAAGAAGACUCCCAAAGCCACCGUAGAUGCCACCGAGGACAAAGAGGUCGACAAGAAACUCCCGGUCAGCCAUCACAAUCUCUCUGAGGGUAACACUGUGAAGGAGAAACACAUCUUUGGCGGUAUCUUUAAGAAGCCCCAGAAGACAACGCAAGAGGAAAGCUCCGAUAACGAGGUAAAGAGGAGGACGCUGUUAUUUGGUUUUAUAAACAAACCUGGAACACUUUAUAAUACCACUCAGUCAAAAGUCAUUUAUAAGCCUUUAGGCCUUUAG
rnacentral:lncRNA from 1 species